UGUAUACUGCCCACGUGUGUGUGUGUGUGUAUAUAUAGGUGGGCAGUAUAUAUGUGUGUGUGUGUAUGUGUAUAUAUACACACACACACACACGUGGGCAGUAUAAU